UGUGGAGACGUUGUCAGAAACAUUAAAUUGUUGCGUCUGUCGUGACGUAACAUCGUUUACAUCAUUUAUCAUAAAUCCCUCCUCUCUCUCUCUCUCUCUGAAGAAGGAGGAGAGGGAAACAUUAACGUCAGGAGGAGACUCAGUGGGAGGAUAACGGGAAGGAGGGGAGGCGUCCGACCGAGAUGAGAGUAUUUAUAGGUGGAGGGAUGAGGAGUUAGAACGACAGCGAGGCAGCCAGAAAAGGAGGGAGGGAGGGAGGCAGAGAGACACAAAAAGAGAGAGAGAGGAAAAUCCAGACACAAUAAGAAGAAAGAGGAGACAAAGACGAGGAGAGGGCCAGCGAGGGACCAUGCUGAGGAGGAAGAGGAGUGUGUCGUUUGGAGGCUUCGGAUGGAUUGAUAAAUCCACCGUCAGCGCUCUGAGAGCUCGUAAACAAGACCUUAUGACCGUCACCAAUGUUCCUAUGGCAGACUGCCCCCCCCCCCCCCCCAGGACGGCACCCCCCACCAUAAAGUCGGCUCAUUUCUUCGAAACAAUGGACAAGAUGGAGCAGCUACCAGAAGCUGCUGAGAUGAAGAAAAUACCUCAGAGACAGAAGGACGACUACAUUCCUUAUCCGAGGAUCGAGGAGGUGUUGGGGAGGGGGGCACCGUACCCUCAGGUCAUCCUGCCCGAAUUUGGAGGUUACUGGAUCGAAGACCCUGAAGCUCCUCCACCUGUGCCUCCUCCCACCUCCCUGGAGAGCAGGGGCGAAGAGGAGGAGGAGCAAGGGAGAGGAUUGGGAGGAAGAGAAGAAGAAGAAGAAGAAGAAGAGGACAUACGACAGGGGGAUUAUGGGUACCGGCUGGAGGAGACGAACGAAGCUGCUCGGGCAUAUCGGAAGCACUUCCUGGCCAGGGAACAUUUGAACUUCUUGUGCUCGGCCGGCAGUCUGGGAAACCUGCUGCUCUCCAUGAGACACGAGGAGGAGAAGGAGCAGGAGAUCCUCCACGUUAUCAUCAGGUCUCGGCUGAAAACCGUUUACCACAGAUUAUCUCUGACGGAGCUGCCAGAAAUCCCGAGUGUCCCAGAGCUCGCCAAGCUGUUGUGCGAUGAAGCAGCUGGACUGAGGUUCAGCCCCGUCCUCUACCCGAAGGCGUCUCAGCUGAUCGUCAGCUAUGAUGAGCACGAGGUCAGCAACACUUUCAAGUUUGGAGUCGUCUACCAGAAGUUCGGACAGGUGUCUGAGGAGGAGCUGUUCAGGAACAACCAGGAAACGCCGGCGUUCACAGAGUUCCUGCAGCUGCUGGGAGACACGGUGGAGCUGCAGGACUUCAAGGGGUUUCGUGGAGGUCUGGAUGUGUCUCAUGGUCAGACCGGGUCUCAGUCCGUCUACACCGUCCACCGACAGCAGGAGAUCAUGUUCCACGUGUCCACCAAGCUUCCCUUCACCGAGGGAGACGCUCAGCAGCUGCAGAGGAAGCGUCACAUAGGAAAUGACAUUGUUGCCGUGGUGUUUCAAGAAGAGGCCACGCCCUUCGUCCCGGACAUGAUCGCCUCCAACUUCCUGCACGCCUUCAUCCUGGUUCAGGUGGAGGAUCCCGGCUCCGACGCCACGGCCUACAAGGUGUCCGUCACAGCGAGGGACGACGUGCCGCCGUUCGGUCCGCCGCUACCGACCCCGGCCGUGUUCAAGAGGGGUCCAGAGUUCAGAGACUUCCUGCUCACGAAACUCAUCAACGCGGAGCUGUCCUGCUACAAGAGCGAACGCUUCGCCCGACUAGAGGAGAGGACUCGGGCCGCUCUGCUCGAUGGCCUCCAUGAUGAGCUGCAGAGACGCUCCCAGUGCAUGCUGGGACUGACUUCCUGUCUGGAGGAGGAGGGGGGGCGGGCGGAGAAUGGCCACGCCCACGGAGGACUGCUGGAGUCCAUCAAGCGGGCGAUGAGAGGGCGGAGCGUUUCCAUGGAGACCAUGUCGAGGGGCGGAGCCGGGCUGCCCACCAGCCUGAGCGGGGGGGGUUUGGCGCACAUCAGUGUCGAGAGUUACGUCAAAUCUCCCGUCAAGAGACGUUCAGGACUUUUUCCUCGGCUGCUGAGCAUCGACAGUCAGACGGAGAAACACAACCCGAGGAGUCUCAGUGAACAGAGGAGUUUCGACGGCUGCCACCCGACGCUGGAGGGGAGGUCAGAGCUUCGGUCCAAUCCCAGCUCUCCGGAGGCGGGGCUAAGAGACCGGAUUCACACCAGGAAAGACGUCAGUAAGAUCUAUAGGUCAACGUCCAGCACCUGCAGCUUCAGCUCCACUAAUGACGAGUCUCACCUGCUCGCCCAGGCCCUGGAAGGUCCAGUUUUCCGAAGUCCAACAGUUUCAGACAUGAGAAACAGAAACUCUCCCAGAUCCAACCUCAAGUUUCGCUUUGAGAAGCUGAGCCACUCGUCCCCAGUAAGAUUUAAUAAACAUGAAGUUAAUCCGGAUUAAAUCCAGUCUGAAGCUGCAGUGAUUCUGUUUUCUGUGCCGUCAGCCGGGGCCGUAGGACGAAGACCACGGGAGAUGUUUUCCAGAUGAAUGAAUCUCUACAAACACACACAAACACACACUGACCUCUUUCUAUGUUUGUGAGGACACAAGACUUUGAUUACAGCAGGACAACAGCAGCUCUAUAGAUGUAUGAUUUGAUAUAUUUCUAUUUUAUGAGAAACUAGAGAAUCUAACGUGUCCACGCAAACAUAGAAAGAAAGAAACACAAACCGGUUUCAUCGCAUCUGAAUCCAACAGCUCCAGUUUCUUCUUCUCCUUUUUCUCUAAAAGACCUGGAUUAUUUUUACUUUAUUUUUUAAUAUGUUUUCAGAAAAUCUGUUCAAAGGCGCUUUUGAGAUCUGUCUUUAGCACCUGAUCUGAUCACAAGUGACCUUCCUUCCUUCCUUCCUUCCUUCCUGAUUUACACAUUUGAAUUAAAACCAGGUGAGAUCAGAUGUUGACUGAGGUCUGAACGGAGCCUUUAGCUCAUAUAAACAUGUUUACACGCCUGCAGCUGUUUUAUAAUCCUUGUUAAUUACUGAUCAGUUUGCUUUAAUCAGGGACUCUGAGCACAAGCGACGUUCACUGAGAACAACAAUUAUUUACUUAUUUAAUCAUCAUUGACCUUUUUUUAUUAUUUAUUAACGCAGCAGGGCUUCAUCUGCUGUGUUAAAACACAACCAAAGAUUCAAAUAAAAACACACAAAUGCUGCACUUUGCAGAAGCUCCAGAGUUUUAACUCGACAAAAGUAUAUCAAGAAAAAACAGAUUAAAUUUAACGUCAGAAAUGUGUUUUAUAAAACCAGAAAACAAACAGUGAGGUUGGUUUUAUCUGUUACACUGAAACGGAAACAGUCACAUCAAACCAAUGUUUAUUCAGAAAUGAUCAGAUUAUCAGGUGGCGAGGCCAGAAAUGAAAAUAGUAAAGGUCCCAGAACAGAACCCUGAGGAACGCCACAUGACCAACCUUAAUAAACUUUUAUUUGUUAUCAUGCAAAAACAUUAUUCCACUAACACAUUUCCUCCAGUUCUCCCCCUAAAACUAACAUUUGAUAUUUUCAUGGACACAAAUAAUUUCAUGAUUUCAACAAAAUCUUGAAUGAAAUGAACUUUUCUGGUUAAUUCAUCCAAACAUUUGAUGCUGAUUCUGAAAAACUGGUCAAAAAUAAUUUAAAAGCUUUUACAUGAACCUGCAGAAUAAACAGAAAUAACAUGUGCAGCGUCCAACUCUCUGAAUCUGUUUCCAGUGAACGUUUGUCUUUGUGUUGUCACGUUCUAGAUUUCUGCCUCAAACUGAGAUCGUGUUACGUUUCCUGUCAGAGACGAAACACCGAACAUGGUGAUAGUUAUUUACCAUGAACAUCGCUAACAGGCUCGACUCUGAGCUGGGGAGAAAAUGAAAAACUGUGUUUAAAAUCAUGCAAAAAGAAGCUUCACUGCCGCUCGAUGCAAAAACUGAAAGUGAUUUAUUUUGCACUAAAGUGAAGUUCUGUGGAUCUUCCUCUGUGGGGCCGAUGGAGAUGAAUGCUCGGCUUCUCACUUCUGCAACAAUAAAAGUUGUACUUUUCAUGAUGUAGCAUAAAUAUAAGACGUGUUUCUGUGUCUGUUCUUUAUUGUGAAGAAAAACUGUGAAUGAAAACCUGAUGUCAUAAACUUUCUUCCUCUCA